GAUGAACGCUGGCGGCGUGCCUAAUACAUGCAAGUCGAGCGAACAGACGAGGAGCUUGCUCCUUCGACGUUAGCGGCGGACGGGUGAGUAACACGUAGGUAACCUACCUAUAAGACUGGGAUAACUUCGGGAAACCGGAGCUAAUACCGGAUAAUAUUUCGAACCGCAUGGUUCGAUAGUGAAAGAUGGCUUUGCUAUCACUUAUAGAUGGACCUGCGCCGUAUUAGCUAGUUGGUAAGGUAACGGCUUACCAAGGCAACGAUACGUAGCCGACCUGAGAGGGUGAUCGGCCACACUGGAACUGAGACACGGUCCAGACUCCUACGGGAGGCAGCAGUAGGGAAUCUUCCGCAAUGGGCGAAAGCCUGACGGAGCAACGCCGCGUGAGUGAUGAAGGUCUUCGGAUCGUAAAACUCUGUUAUUAGGGAAGAACAAACGUGUAAGUAACUGUGCACGUCUUGACGGGACCUAAUCAGAAAACCACGGCUAACUACGU
rnacentral:rRNA from 1 species